CUACGGGCGGCUGCAGUGGGGAAUAUUGGACAAUGGGGGGAACCCUGAUGCAGCAACGCCGCGUGGAGGAUGACGCAUUUCGGUGUGUAAACUCCUUUUAUAUGUCAAGAAAAUGACGGUAGCAUAUGAAUAAGCACCGGCUAACUCCGUGCCAGCAGCCGCGGUAAUACGGAGGGUGCAAGCGUUACUCGGAAUCACUGGGCGUAAAGGACGCGUAGGCGGGUUGGAAAGUCAGGUGUGAAAUCCUACAGCUUAACUGUAGAACUGCACUUGAAACUUCUAAUCUAGAGUAUGGGAGGGGGAGAUGAAUUAGUGGUGUAGGGGUAAAAUCCGUAGAUAUCACUAGGAAUACCUAAAGCGAAGGCGAUCUCCUGGAACAUUACUGACGCUAAGGCGUGAAAGCGUGGGGAGCAAACGGGAUUAGAUACCCGGGUAGUC
rnacentral:rRNA from 1 species